rnacentral:RNase_P_RNA from 1 species
GAAGUGGCUUGGGUGAUCGCGUUGGCUUUGUAGCCACCGAGGAAAGUCUGGGCUGCACAGAGCAGGAUGCCAGACAACACCUGGUGGGAGAAAUCCUAGGAAAGUACCACAGAAAAUAGACCGCCGAUUGGUGUUAAUACGUCAGUCGGUUAGGGUGAAAUGGUGUGGUAAGAGCACACCGCUCCAUUGGGUAACGAAUGGAGGCAGGGUAAACCCCAUUCGCAGCAAGGCCAAAUAGGGAAACAUUGGGUGCGGCUCGCACUUGUUUCCGGGUAGGCUGCUUGAGCUGGUGGGCGACCAUCAGCCUAGAGGAAUGAUCACUAACGCGUAAGCGUACAGAACCCAGCUUACAGAGCCACUUCGUUU